GUCCUCUUGUUUAUAUAUGAGGUCUGACCUGCCCGGUGAAAAUUAUUUUAACGGCCGCAGUAUUUUGACUGUGCAAAGGUAGCAUAAUCAUUAGUCUUUUAAUAGGGGGCUGGAAUGAAGGGUUUGACGAGGUGUUAACUGUCUCAUUGAAUUUGUUAUUAAAAUUUAACUUUUCAGUCAAAAGGCUGAAAUUGUAUUGGAAGACGAGAAGACCCUAUAGAGCUUUAUAAUUGAAAGCUUAAUUAUUGGUUGUUUAUUAUUUUUUAUUAUUCUUUUAAUUAUUUUGUUGGGGUGACAAAAAUAUAAAAUUAACUUUUUUAUUUAAUGAACAUUGAUUAAUGAGUGUUAGAUCCAAUCUUAUUGAUUGUUAGAUUAAGUUACC
rnacentral:rRNA from 1 species